GAAAUGCGAUACGUAAUGUGAAUUGCAAAUUCAGUGAAUCAUCGAGUCUUUGAACGCACAUUGCGCCCCCUGGUAUUCCGGGGGACAUGCCUGUCCGAGCGUCAUUUCUGCCCUCAAGCACGGCUUGUGUGUUGGGCCCCGUCCUCCGAUCCCGGGGGACGGGCCCGAAAGGCAGCGGCGGCACCGCGUCCGGUCCUCGAGCGUAUGGGGCUUUGUCACCCGCUCUGUAGGCCCGGCCGGCGCUUGCCGAUCAACCCAAAUUUUUAUCCAGGUUGACCUCGGAUCAGGUAGGGAUACCCGCUGAACUUAAGC
rnacentral:misc_RNA from 1 species